rnacentral:tRNA from 1 species
CGGGGCGUAGCGCAGCCUGGUUAGCGCGCCAGUUUGGGGUACUGGAGGUCGGCGGUUCGAAUCCGCUCGCCCCGACCA